rnacentral:rRNA from 1 species
GUUUGAUGGCGACCGGCGCACGGGUGAGUAACACGUAUCCAACCUGCCGAUGACUCGGGGAUAGCCUUUCGAAAGAAAGAUUAAUACCCGAUGGCAUAGUUCUUCCGCAUGGUGGAACUAUUAAAGAAUUUCGGUCAUCGAUGGGGAUGCGUUCCAUUAGGUUGUUGGCGGGGUAACGGCCCACCAAACCUUCGAUGGAUAGGGGUUCUGAGAGGAAGGUCCCCCACAUUGGAACUGAGACACGGUCCAAACUCCUACGGGAGGCAGCAUG